UCUUCUUAAAUAUUAUAAUUGUUCUUAUUUCAAAUAAUUAAAAAUAGUAUCUCGGACGAUGUUAACUUUAAUCAUUAUAAUAAUGAAAAUAUGUGAGGCAAAUCCUCAAGAAAAGAAAUAUGAUUUGAAAAAAACACAUUAAGAGAAACGAAUAAAUUUCCUUUUUCCUUUGAAAUAAAAAAAAGGGAUAUUAUUUGCAGCUUCUCCGAGAACAGUAAUAAAAUUUUGAACCCUAAAACUUUGGCAUAAAUAAAUUAUCGGAGAUUCUGGAAAUCCGGCCAGAAGAGAGAGGGAGAGAGGGAAUAUGGCGCCGUUGAAAUCCCUGGAGAAGGACUAUCCGAUGAUCGACUCCAACUUCCAACACUUCUGUGCUUCUCAGGGCAUUCUCUCAGUUGAAGAUUUGCUCAUUCAUGACCUUGAUGACUUAGUUGCUUUGGCCAGGCAAAAUUCUGCUUCAGGGAGAUUGAAGCAGGGCAUUACUCAAGUCCUUUCUAUUAUCAAUGGUCUGCAUCAACCAUGGUUGAAUGGCAUGGAGCUAUUGAAAGAUGUUCAACAAAAUAAACACAUUCUAUCCACUGGUUGUGAAAGGAUUGAUUUGUUCCUGCAAGGUGGAUUACGUGAGGGAUAUCUAACCGAAUUGGUUGGGCCAUCAUCAUCUGGUAAAACACAGGUUUGCCUGAAAGCUGCCUCAAAUGUUGCGAAGGCACAUAGGGGUGGGGUUGUAUUCUUAGACACAGGAAACUCCUUUUCGCCUAAACGUAUGGCAAAGUUUACGAUCUCAGAUAUGGUUAAUAAAGAGGCCAACCAAAAAAUUCUCCAAGAAGUAUUGAAGAGCAUAGUAUGCCACUCAGUGUUUGACAUUUUCACACUGUUGGAUGUAUUAAAUCAACUGAAGUCCAGUUUGAUGUCUCAGAUACAGAUAGGUGGUCAAGUGCAACUGCUCAUUGUGGAUUCAAUUUCGUCACUUAUCACCCCAGUUCUUGGGGGCAGUAGUUCACAUGUGCCAAAAUUCAGGUGGACCCUUCUUUCAAGUGGUAUGUAACAAAGUUUUUUCAAGUGGAAGGGUGAUGUUCCCCAUUGUUUUGCUGAUCAUUUUCCAGUUGAGAUCCCCUUGGCAUGUCCUCACAAAUCAUGGUCAAUAGAGUUAUGCUGGGACUAUGGGUCUUUGCUUUUUGAGCCUUUGCUUCAUGAAAUUCGACUCUCUUUGGUACUGUACAAACAGGUCUCUGAUAUAUCAAUGAAAUUCAUAAAAGUUAAACCUGUUAAAAUGGGUAUGCUGUCACUUGUAUGGUUAUUUCACUCAUGUUGAUGUUGUUAGGUAUCUUAUUUGGAGGAGCCAUUUAGUUUUAUGAUUCCAUCCCCCUUUUUGCGGCGAGGCAUCAACAUUACUCUAAAAAAGUAGUUAAUCUCCAAAAGAAUUCUGCAAGACCAAUGGAUUAUUAUGAUUUUAGCAUGCAUAGGGACUGCUUCAAUAGUUUUUUUUCUAAUCUGUUGCAAAGUUUGAUGUCAUUAGGAGAGUUCCCUUAAUCAUUUAUAGAAGUAAUGACUUUUUUAUGAUCUGAAAAAAGUAGUACGAUAUUUUUUCACUUUUCGUGGAGAAAUUGUGGAAGCUGUUCAACCAAUAUUGCAUAGACUUAUUCCUGUCCUAUGGACUGUCUGCCUUGCAUAAUUAAAUUGCUUGGGUAACAUUUAUUUGAAAAGGGUCGUAGUUACAAGUGUCCUCUUUCUUGGUUUAAUGGUCCAGCAAUUUAGGGAAAACUGUUUUGCCGCUUCAUACCAUGUUCUAGUGAAGUAAUUCAGCUACUAAGUUCCCCAUGCUACCAGGAAGGGCUCCUCAGCAAAAGAAAACAAAAUAGAAAAAGUAAACCACCCACAAAGAAAGAAAAGAAUUUGUCCAACUUUAACCGUAUGCUAACUAAGAUUGUGGUGUUACCACGUGUUUGGUUAUGGACAGGUGAAUGUCCUAAAAGCUGCUAGGACAAGCCCUUGUCAGUGCCCGUACCUGCUAGCUAGGUAGAUGAAUUUACCUCUAGUUGAGAGUUGAGACAAGAUUCAUGUCUGAGUUUGUCCAUGCUAAAGAUAUAUACGGAAGAAAGGAUAGACCUAAAGUUUAUGUACUCUUUUUCACUCAUUGUUUAUUAUCUAUGGAAGGAUUUAUUCAAGAGCAAUUUAUGAAUUUUGGCCUCAAGUUCUUGAGCUAGGCUCCUCUUUCUCUUCAUUCUUGAUGUUUAUUCAUGCAUCUGAAAUAUGUCAAGCACAUUUGACAUGUGUGUGAUACCAAUGGGCUAAUGCUUAAAAAGCACAUAUAGGGCACGCUUUGAUGAUUUCUGCUGGAUAUUUGCUGAAGAAGAUGGCAAAUGAGCAUAACCUUGCUGUGUUGGUCACUAAUCACAUGGUGGGUGGAGAGGGAGGUAUAUCUAAGCCAGCACUUGGAGAGAGUUGGAAGAGCAUCCCACAU